GAUGAACGCUAGCGGCAGGCCUAAUACAUGCAAGUCGAGGGGCAGCGGGUGUAGCAAUACAUGCCGGCGACCGGCGCACGGGUGCGUAACACGUAUGAAACCUACCCAUAACUUGGGGAUAGCCCGAAGAAAUUCGGAUUAAUACCCAAUGGUACUAAGAGAUGGCAUCAUUUUUUAGUUAAAGAUUUAUCGGUUAUGGAAGGUCAUGCGGCCAAUUAGCUAGUUGGUGAGGUAAUGGCUCACCAAGGCGACGAUUGGUAGGGGACCUGAGAGGGUGAUCCCCCACACUGGUACUGAGAUACGGACCAGACUCCUACGGGAGGCAGCAGUAGGGAAUAUUGGGCAAUGGAGGCAACUCUGACCCAGCCAUGCCGCGUGAAGGAAGAAGGCCUUCUGGGUUGUAAACUUCCUUUGAUCGGGAACAAAGAGUCCGUGCGUGGACAGUUGAGUGUACCGAUAGAAUAAGCACCGGCUAACUCCGUGCCAGCCGCCGCGGUAACAC
rnacentral:rRNA from 1 species